rnacentral:rRNA from 1 species
GACGUAGGGCGCGAGCGUUGUCCGGAUUUAUUGGGCGUAAAGAGCUCGUAGGCGGCUUGUCGCGUCGAAUGUGAAAACUCGGGGCUCAACUCCGAGCUUGCAUUCGAUACGGGCAUCACUAGAGUUCGGCAGGGGAGACUGGAAUUCCUGGUGUAGCGGUGAAAUGCGCAGAUAUCAGGAGGAACACCGGUGGCGAAGGCGGGUCUCUGGGCCGAUACUGGACGCUGAGGAGCGAAAGCAUGGGGAGCGAACAGG